rfam:Hordeum vulgare subsp. vulgare, WGS project CAJW01000000 data, contig: morex_contig_50313
GAAGUACUCCCUCCGUCCGAAAAUACUUGUUCUAAAGAUGAAUGUAUCUAGACUUANNUUAGUUAUAGAUACAUUCAUUAUAUUCAUUUUUAGGACAAGUAUUUCCGGUCGGAGGGAGUAUUUC